UACAGAGGUCUCAAGCGUUGUUCGGAUUCAUUGGGCGUAAAGGGUGCGUAGGUGGCGGGGUAAGUCUGGUGCGAAAUCUCGGGGCUCAACCCCGAAACUGCACUGGAUACUGCCUUGCUCGAGUACUGGAGAGGAGAUUGGAAUUUACGGUGUAGCAGUGAAAUGCGUAGAUAUCGUAUGGAAGACCAGUGGCGAAGGCGAAUCUCUGGACAGUUACUGACACUGAGGCACGAAGGCCAGGGGAGCAAACGGG
rnacentral:rRNA from 1 species